GCGGCGGGUUACGAACGGGUUUAGCUUGGGAGAUCUCAGGUCUGGGUAGGAGGAGGAGGAGGCGGCGGCGGUGGCGUCGGCGGCUGUUCUCGGGGAGACAGGAGCUGUCGCGGGAGGUGGCGGCUGGGGGAGGCGGCUGGACCACUGGGGGUGACUCUAGCUACGGCGGCCACGCAGCUCUAGCCGGAGCGGAGGCAGGUGUGCCUAGACCACAUGCACCAGUUGCAGCAGAGCGAGGGACGCCGUGGUGGGAUCCUGUCCAGCUGCCGCGGACACGCAACUCCAGCUGCAGCGGAACUAGGGGUCGUGCUCUAGGCCGCUGCUUGAGGCCCGGAGAACAGAGUUCAAUCGGCACGGUGGGGUGCGGUAGCGCGACGAGAAGAGGCGCUGGGAGGUGCGCCUGCUCGCGAUAGCCCGAGGGGUGGUACAGAGAAUGGUGUGGCUGCCGCUGGCGCCACGGACGAGGGGUGAUGCGAUCAUGUUGUACAACGAGUCUAGACAGUACCACUUUGCGCUACGUCCACGAUAGUCACUUUCCUAACCCCUGACCAAGAUCGUCACCAUCCAAACAAGGUCCUUAAGUAUUACGAGUACUAAACGGUGUGAGUACCGUGAAUGAUGAAUUUUACAAAGAGGUAAAUUAGUUCGUUCUUAUCAAGAAGUUUUGUAAAAUAGCAAAAUUAGAAGUCUGUAGAACCAUCCUUCGUCGUACCUUACAAACGUCAAAAUCAAAUCUAACAUGUAUUUCCGGAGAUCUAUACAAGAGACAGUCAGUUUUGAAGAUUUUACUAGAUACGUGGUACCGUCACCUAUGAAGAUUUACUGACGUUGUACAAGAUCAUUCGGAAUAAUCAUAUCCUGCAAGUUAUUAGAAAGCCACGAUUUGUUCACCUACGAUGUUGAAUUAUGAUUUAGUCAUUUUGUGAAAUCCUCAUGAUGUACCUGUUUUUCCAUAAACAUAACACGACAAAUAGGGGUAACCAACUAGCUACACUCUAGUAGAUCAAGUUGACAGUAGUGUGUGUAUAUGAUGAUGUACCUUCUUUUGUUGAUCGAUCUCUUGAACAAAUGCGGAGGAAAGUAAAACGACGUUCUGUCUGACUUUCACCUGGUGAGAAGAUCUCAAAUUUACCAUGAGGGAGACAGGGUAUUACAUUCAUAACAGUUUUUUGCAGAAUGUAAUACUCUGCCUCCAUCAUAUUAUACAACCAAAAGAUGCCAAGGAAAUAGAGGUUAGAUCAAAAAUGAGUUAUAUUCAAUGAUAAAGUAUUCUUAUUGUACUUCGUGACUAAGAAUAUACAAGGUACAUAAUACUGUACUGUUCAUCAGUGAUCGUCGAUUCGUUUCCGAUGUUGUACGAGCCUCCUCUUCAAACUUACCUCCGUCCCUUAUGUGAAAAAAGACACUUACGUCUCUUAUGUGAAACAAAGGGUUUCUAUGUGACCCACUAGAUGUUCGAAGACUUCCAAACCUACUAGAUGUUCAAUUCCGAACCUAGUGGAUGUUCGGCAACUUACAAACGUUCUGGAUGUUAAUUCAACCCACUAGAUGUUCGAAGACUUCCAAACCUACUAGAUGUUCAAUUCCGAACCUAGUGGAUGUUCGACAACUUACAAACGUUCUGGAUGUUAAUUCAACCACCUCACCAAUACAUUACAUGGAACAAACAACUUGGACCACUGUAACCGUGCACGACGAGUAAAACCACCAACAAAACCGUGUAUUCGGUGACAUACGAGAAAAACCAACCCACUGCGUGGAUCUUUGUAUACAUGAGGAGGGAAACACCGUGGUGAAGUAAAAAAUAACACACCGUGUGGAUCUUUGUAUAUACACGAGGAAAACACCGUGUUGGACAUAUAUAUACCAACAGUACAAAGAAUUUACUUCAAAUUCCAAAAACUACUCCG
rnacentral:rRNA from 1 species